UUCCUGUUUUUCUCUCUGCUUACAGAAGAGGAUGUAGUUCUUAGCUAUUGUUCCUGGUGCUUGCUGCCAGGCUCCCUGCCAUGGUGAUAAUGGACUUACCCACUGCAAAUGGAAGCCAGCCUCCAGACUCUGAGUUCUACCCUCUAAUUUUCUGUUUCCAUGUGUGUGGAGAGGAGAUCAAGAGCUUGCAUUUGUAGUAAGCUCUGUCAGGAGAUGGUGACUCCAGUCUGGUAGUAUCUCCCAGAAGUGUGCAGUCCAGCCCUUCCUGCAUGGCUACUGCUCUGCUGCUGAUUGCUGGAGAGUCCAGAAUGGAAGUUGGAUUGUGAUGUAGCCAUUAAAUGCAGCAGCAGUACCACCAUUACCUCCAUCAUCGUUAUCAUCAUCACCUUCAUUAUCAUC